rnacentral:lncRNA from 1 species
GAUCUAUUUGGCAUGAUAUUUGAUACAUUUGCCUCAGAACCAGAAACCUAUUUUGUGGCAAAGGGAGGAGAGAGAAAAAUAAAGAGAAAAAGAGGGGUUGCCACACUAUUGUAUGACUGAUGUUAAAGAGUAACACAAUGAUGCGACUCUGAUGUCAAAGAGGGAUGUGCCAUUCAUACUCUCUCUGCUUUGAUGUCCACGGGUCAUUAUGUACCUAUGUCCUGGUAA